rnacentral:pre_miRNA from 1 species
AUAGGAAUUAUCUGGAAAUCUUGUUAAAAUACAGAUUCUGAUUCAGUAGAUUGGGGUAGGGCCUGAGAUUCUGCAUUUUUAUUAAGCCUCCAGGUGAUGUUGAU